CCAGACUCCUACGGGAGGCAGCAGUGGGGAAUAUUGCACAAUGGGGGAAACCCUGAUGCAGCGACGCCGCGUGAGUGAAGAAGUAUUUCGGUAUGUAAAGCUCUAUCAGCAGGGAAGAAAUAGCGACCUUUGGGUCGCCAGACGGUACCUGAUUAAGAAGCCCCGGCUAACUACGUGCCAGCAGCCGCGGUAAUACGUAGGGGGCAAGCGUUAUCCGGAUUUACUGGGUGUAAAGGGAGCGUAGACGGCAGCGCAAGUCUGAAGUGAAAUGCCGGGGCUUAACCCCGGAACUGCUUUGGAAACUGUGCAGCUAGAGUGCAGGAGAGGUAAGUGGAAUUCCUAGUGUAGCAGUGAAAUGCGUAGAUAUUAGGAAGAACACCGGUGGCGAAGGCGGAUGACUGGACGACAACUGACGGUGAGGCGCGAAAGCGUGGGGAGCAAACAGGAUUAGAUACCCCCGUAA
rnacentral:rRNA from 1 species